UAUAAUUUAAAGUAGGGCCUGCCCACUGAAAUUUUUGAAGGGCCGCAGUAUUUUGACUGUGCAAAGGUACAUAAUCAUUAGUUUUUUAAUUGAAAGCUUGUAUGAAUGGUUUGAUGAGAAAAUUACUUUCUAAAUUUAAAUUUUUAAAAACUUUAUUUUUAAGUUAAAAAGCUUAAAUGUUGUUAAAAGACGAGAAGACCCUAUAGAGUUUAAUUUAAGAAAAAUUUUUAAUUUUUAGAAUUUAAAUAUUUGAAAUUUUAAUUAAAUUUGAUUGGGGUGAUAAAAAAAUUAAAUUAACUUUUUUAUUUAAUUACAUUAAUAAAUG
rnacentral:rRNA from 1 species